CAGUAGCCGCGGUAAUACGAAGGGUGCAAGCGUUAAUCGGAAUUACUGGGCGUAAAGCGUGCGUAGGCGGUGAGUUAAGUCUGCUGUGAAAUCCCCGGGCUCAACCUGGGAAUGGCAGUGGAUACUGGCUCGCUAGAGUGUGUCAGAGGAUGGUGGAAUUCCCGGUGUAGCGGUGAAGUGCGUAGAGAUCGGGAGGAACAUCAGUGGCGAAGGCGGCCAUCUGGGACAACACUGACGCUGAGGCACGAAAGCGUGGGGAGCAACAGGAUUAGAUACCCCAGUAGUCCCUGUCUCUUAUACA
rnacentral:rRNA from 1 species